AGCGGGUCCACUCGCUCUUUCUGGACGAGUCGCGCUCUACACAGUACAUGAAGGAGUACCAGGAUGCCUUUCUCUUCAAUGAGCUCAGUGAGUGUCCCCUGCUGCCCCUCCCUCACCCCCCCAGUCCCAGAGGGCUCAGUCCCAGCCCCCUGACCACAUGGCCUUCCUUCUCCUCACAGAAGGCGAAACCAUGGACACCUCCUGAGCUGAUGUGACCCUCGCCCUCCCUCCCCCCCCCGCUCUGUUUUCUAUUGGAGUUCUGACACUGUGACUUUGUAUAAAAUGGUUCUGAUAUCG
rnacentral:lncRNA from 1 species